AUUGAACGCUGGCGGCAGGCCUAACACAUGCAAGUCGAACGAGUGGCGGACGGGUGAGUAAUGUCUGGGAAACUGCCCGAAGGAGGGGGAUAACUACUGGAAACGGUAGCUAAUACCGCAUACCAUCGGAUGUGCCCAGAUGGGAUUAGCUCGUCAGUGGGGUAAAGGCGCACCUAGGCGACGAUCCCUCCCUGGUCUGAGAGGAUGACCAGCCAAACUGGAACUGAGACACGGUCCAGACUCCGACGGGAGGCAGCAGGGGGGAAUAUUGCACAAUGGGCGAAAGCAUGAUGCAGCCAUGCCGCGUGUAUGAAGAAGGCCUUCGGGUUGUAAAGUACUUUAAGCGGGGAGGCGUUACCCGCAGAAGAAGCACCGGCUAACUCCGUGCCAGCAGCCGCGGUAAUAC
rnacentral:rRNA from 1 species